ACAAGAACGCAGGGGAGACACCACGAUCAUGAAAGUGGCUUCCCCAGGGUGGGGCUCAUCCAUUGCCCCGCGGGGGUGCUGAGCCCUGCGAUUUCCCCAAAUGAGGGCCACUCGGCUGCAUAAUUUGUGGUUAUUAUUUAGCCACAAGUGCCCACUUGUGGCUAAA